CCUAGAUGGGCACCAGGGAUAUAGCCGAGACUGACCCCAAGAAUGAGCAGGAACUCACCUCAGUGGUGCAGAAACUCCUGCAGCAGAUCCAAGAUAAAUUUCAGACCAUGUCUGACCAGAUCAUUGGGAGAACUGAUGAUAUGAGUAGUUGCACUGAUGAUCUGGAAAAGAACAUCGCAGAUCUCAUGACACAGGCUGGGGUGGAAGAACUGGAAAGUAAAAACAAGAUACCUGCCACACAAGAGGUGAAGGUUGCUAAUAAUUUAUACUGAAAUCUGGAACACCAUUUUUCCAAGCCAAGAGAAGAUUGAAUGGGUUUUUGCAGCUAACUACUAUGUGUAUACAGGUUUUAUAAAAAGUGUGCAUUCUUAUCACAUACUAUAUAGUUAGUCUAUAGAGUGAUUUACCCCCCAGUUUCUUAAACAUAGUAUCUUCACAUCUUGGACCUUGGUCAAUUUUGCUAUUAACGAUUAAACAUUAAAACUUUGCUGUUCUUGC
rnacentral:lncRNA from 1 species